UACGUAGGGUGCGAGCGUUAAUCGGAAUUACUGGGCGUAAAGUGUGCGCAGGCGGCCGCGCAAGUCGAGUGUGAAAGCCCCGGGCUUAACUUGGGAAUUGCGCUCGAAACUACGUGGCUGGAGUGUGGCAGAGGAAGGUGGAAUUCCACGUGUAGCGGUGAAAUGCGUAGAGAUGUGGAGGAACACCAAUGGCGAAGGCAGCCUUCUGGGCCAACACUGGCGCUCAUGCACGAAAGCGUGGGGAGCAAACAGG
rnacentral:rRNA from 1 species